GCAAGUCGAGCGGACAGAUGGGAGCUUGCUCCCUGAUGUUAGCGGCGGACGGGUGAGUAACACGUGGGUAACCUGCCUGUAAGACUGGGAUAACUCCGGGAAACCGGGGCUAAUACCGGAUGGUUGUUUGAACCGCAUGGUUCAAACAUAAAAGGUGGCUUCGGCUACCACUUACAGAUGGACCCGCGGCGCAUUAGCUAGUUGGUGAGGUAACGGCUCACCAAGGCAACGAUGCGUAGCCGACCUGAGAGGGUGAUCGGCCACACUGGGACUGAGACACGGCCCAGACUCCUACGGGAGGCAGCAGUAGGGAAUCUUCCGCAAUGGACGAAAGUCUGACGGAGCAACGCCGCGUGAGUGAUGAAGGUUUUCGGAUCGUAAAGCUCUGUUGUUAGGGAAGAACAAGUACCGUUCGAAUAGGGCGGUACCUUGACGGUACCUAACCAGAAAGCCACGGCUAACUACGUGCCAGCAGCCGCGGUAAUACGUAGGUGGCAAGCGUUGUCCGGAAUUAUUGGGCGUAAAGGGCUCGCAGGCGGUUUCUUAAGUCUGAUGUGAAAGCCCCCGGCUCAACCGGGGAGGGUCAUUGGAAACUGGGGAACUUGAGUGCAGAAGAGGAGAGUGGAAUUCCACGUGUAGCGGUGAAAUGCGUAGAGAUGUGGAGGAACACCAGUGGCGAAGGCGACUCUCUGGUCUGUAACUGACGCUGAGGAGCGAAAGCGUGGGGAGCGAACAGGAUUAGAUACCCUGGUAGUCCACGCCGUAAACGAUGAGUGCUAAGUGUUAGGGGUUUCCGCCCCUUAGUGCUGCAGCUAACGCAUU
rnacentral:rRNA from 1 species